rnacentral:rRNA from 1 species
CUGAGUUUACGCUCUACAACCCUUUGUGAACAUACCUAUAACUGUUGCUUCGGCGGGUAGGGUCUCCGCGACCCUCCCGGCCUCCCGCCUCCGGGCGGGUCGGCGCCCGCCGGAGGAUAACCAAACUCUGAUUUAACGACGUUUCUUCUGAGUGGUACAAGCAAAUAAUCAAAACUUUUAACAACGGAUCUCUUGGUUCUGGCAUCGAUGAAGAACGCAGCGAAAUGCGAUAAGUAAUGUGAAUUGCAGAAUUCAGUGAAUCAUCGAAUCUUUGAACGCACAUUGCGCCCGCCAGCAUUCUGGCGGGCAUGCCUGUUCGAGCGUCAUUUCAACCCUCAAGCUCUGCUUGGUGUUGGGGCCCUACAGCCGAUGUAGGCCCUCAAAGGUAGUGGCGGACCCUCCCGGAGCCUCCUUUGCGUAGUAACUUUACGUCUCGCACUGGGAUCCGGAGGGACUCUUGCCGUAAAACCCCCCAAUUUUCCAAAGGUUGACCUCGGAUCAGGUAGGAAUACCCGCUAAACUUAAGCAUAUCA